UCAGUAGGCGGUGUGGCAAGUCGGGAGUGAAAUCUCUGGGCUUAACCCAGAGGCUGCUUCCGAAACUGCCAUGCUUGAGUGUGGGAGAGGCGCGUGGAAUUGCAGGUGUAGCGGUGAAAUGCGUAGAUAUCUGCAGGAACACCCGUGGCGAAAGCGGCGCGCUGGACCACAACUGACGCUGAAUGACGAAAGCUAGGGGAGCAAACA
rnacentral:rRNA from 1 species